rnacentral:tRNA from 1 species
CCGACCUUAGCUCAGUUGGAAGAGCACAAGACUGUAAAGGAGAUCUGGUAAUCUUGGGGUCGCCUGUUCGAACCAGGCAGGUCGGA